rnacentral:rRNA from 1 species
UACAGAGGUCUCGAGCGUUAGGCGGAAUCACUGGGCUUAAAGCGUGUGUAGGCGGAUCGGUAAGUACCUUGUGAAAUCCCACAGCUUAACUGUGGAACUGCUUGGUAUACUGCCAGUCUUGAGCCACUUAGGGGCCACCGGAACAAAUGGUGGAGCGGUGAAAUGCGUAGAUAUCAUUUGGAACGCCAAUGGUGAAAACAGGUAGCUGGGAGUGUGCUGACGCUGAGACACGAAAGCCAGGGGAGCAAACGGG